ensembl:snRNA U6 U6 spliceosomal RNA
GUGCUCACUUCAGCAGCACAUAUACUCCAAUUGAAAUGAUACACAAAGAUUAGCAUGGCCCCUGAAUAAGAAUAAUAUGUAAAUAUGCAAAGCAUUCCACAUUUAA